GCCAUAGCUCUGAUUUGACCCCUGGCCUGGGAACCUCCAUAUGCUGUGGGUGUGGCCCUAAAAAGCAAAAGAAAGAAAGGAAGGAAGGCCCGCAUAGUCACCUCGCUAAGAUAUAGGAGAGGCAGAGCCUGAAGCGUGCCUUUGGACUCCCAGUUGCAUUAUUUUGUCCCUGUUGCUUUAUCUCGUGGUUUCCCCAGCAGGUGACAUGUGCUUUGGGACGAAGAGAUGAAGGGAGAGAGAGAUUUGAGACGUCACCACUGUCCCUUCUUACCGAGACCCCACGUUCUAGUUUCAUGUGCUCCAAACACCCUCCCCACAGCCUUCUCAUUUAAUUUCCUUUUUUGCUGAGAUACGAUUCACUCAUGACAAAGCUCACCCCGUGAAAGCGUACAGUUCCCUGCGUUUGAGGAUAUUCAGAAGGUGGUGGCUUUGCCACCAGCAUCGAAUUCCAGAACGUUUCCAUUCAUGAAUGUCCACUGUUUUUGUUUUGCAGAUUCCAAUCAUGCGAGACCCUGGAUGGAUUCGAAACGUGUGGUCGUCCAACAUUAACGUGAGUGGAAUUGCUCCGAACACCCUGAUGGUGCUUUGACGUUUCAAGAUGAGGGAACAUCCCCUUUGACACACGGGCGCGAUGCCUCGGGUCCACGUGGUCCCUGACCCAGAACUCUGCCACUGGACGGCAGCUUUCACCCGUGCCUUGUGGCCCUUCCUAAAGGUCUGAGGAGCCCCAGCUGGAGCUCAGAACCUUUGGGCUGGCUCCUGAUCUUGUCUCAGGCAUAGAUCGGAUUUUGUUACCCUCCCAAUUGGCAUUCAGUGGUGCCCUGGUGCCAAUAGGAAAAGGUUCCUAGCAAGUUCAUGAUGUUUGUUUGUCCUUGACGGGCGCUCCUAUGUAAUUACUAAAAGCCCUGGCAGGGGGCCCCAAACCCCUCAAAGCCCUCUGCACGUUCUGCCUCUUCUUCCUGCAUCCAGUGGCCCCUUUGUCCUCCAGUCUUCUGGUCACUGCCUUGUGCCUGGUCCCCAGGCCUCAGCCAGGCCUUUCAGGUUGUCUCUGUGACUCUACUUAGUGCUUUGUUCUCUGAUACUUUGGGGUGUCCCUAGACCGAGGGCCAGCACCCCCUCUCAUGUCCAUUCCAGCUUCCAGAAGCUGUUCGGGAAUCUGGCUCACUGAGCCUCUGUAGUCUGGGGGGAUAUUUUGCUGAAGGACCCUUGGCUGUGGUCCCCCUGCGUCCGAGUUCCUUUCUCACAGUGCAUCCGUCUCGCCCUCGCCUUGCCCUGGACGAGACCUUAAGCUUCGGCAGCUUCAUACAGAUCCCUCUACCCAGAGAUCUUAUACCUGAGGUCCUUUCCUGCGGAGGAGAGGCUUGAAGGAAUCCGUUUAGGAGUGGCGAGGCUCAGGAAAAGCGUUUUGGAAUAAUCCCAGGAGGAAGUGAUAAGCCCGAACGUGUCUUUGUCACGACCGUGGCCUGUGCUCAGCUUUGGGCAUGUCGAAUAAAAGUGAACACUUGGUCUCCCUGUCAAAGAGCUCAGGCUGGGGACGGACUGUGGGCCCAGAGGAUUUUCAGAGGACCCAGGAGGCCUCGAGCCAGGAUGAGAGAGUCUCCCUCGAGGUGAAUCCAGGGGCUCCAGUUCAAUGGAUGAAGAAGGCCUGGCCCCAGGGAUGCUGGGAGGAGCAGGAGUUCUAGUUCUCAGUGGAUUGACAGGGACGGGGCCCAAUCAGAGGCCAGGGAUCCUGAGCAGGCCAGCCAGUUAGUGGCAGUUGAGUCUGGAGUGAGGGGAGCCGUCCUCCAUGGAGGGGAGGGGCAGGGAGUCUGGUAAGUGAGCGGCUCUGCCGGGGGAAGGAGUGCGCUGGUGUCCGAGGCUGCUGUCCAUGGCCAGGUCCCAUUUUCCAGAGAGGGGGCCAGAGCCCACAGCCACCAGGUUUUCAGGCUCAGCCUCCGGCCUAAGGUGCAGGGCAUUGGCUAUGGUGUAUAAGAGGGGCUGGAGUUCCCGCUGUGGCUCAGCAGGUUCUGAACCCGACUAGUCUCCAUGAGGAUGCAAGUUCGAUCCCUGGCUUUGCUCAGGGGGUUAAGGAUCCGGCGUUGCCAUGAGCUGUGGUGUGGGUCGCAGACACCACUCGGAUCCCACUUUGCUGUGGCUGUGGUGUAGGCCGGCAGCUGCAGCUCUGAUUGGACCCCUAGCCUGGGAACCUCCAUAUGCCGUGGGUGUGCAGGGGUGGCCCUGAAAAGCAAAAAAGAGAGAGAGAGAGGCUGGGAAGGAGAGGCAGUCAGCAGGGCCUCUACCCCCAGGCCCGCCGGGGGCCCCCACUGGACAGGAACCAAGUAAAAUGUCAAGUGAGAAGUUUCUGCUUCAAGGGCAAAAUGAUGCAAAAUCUUUACCAUCUCAGCAGGGGCACUGGAUUAGGACUCUGGAGUUCUGGUCACAGCUUUGCCAUGCAGGGCCUGUGUGACACUGGGCAGGUUCUCCGGUCCUCUGCGCUUCGGUUCCUCGAGGGUACGUUAGCAGGUCAUCAGCAGACAGUAGGCACUGGGGGCGCUUGCUCUUUCCCGCAAGGCAGGCGGGAGAAGAGAUGACAGUUUAUAGCGCAGCGUGGGUGGGCGGGGAGGUUAGAAGCAGUUCAGAAAAAAAGCUUCCAAGAGAAAGUGAGUCUUUUUAUACAGAGUCGUGAAAGAGGCCUGAGUUGGCCAGGCAGGGGGUGAGAACUGGAUCGUGUGAUUGGAAGAGGGGGACGUGGGGGAGGGCCAUGGGGGAGGAGCAAGCGGGGUGCCAGUGAUGGGGAGGGGGCUGGCUUGCUUUCCUGAUGGCCUUGGACUUUACCCUACAAGUCACGGUAAUGGACGGGGGUUGGCAUGGCCGGGCCUUAAGCAGGCGGUGCCAUGUCAGAUCUGCUCAUUCAUGGGUAUCACGGGGUGAGGCUGGGGGCAGGGAGACCCACGAAUUGUUCAUCGUUAGCCUGGCUGAGUGUGACGGGCUUGUGGCCCAUCCAAAUGGAAGUGUCCAGAAGGUAGCUGAAUGCAUGAUCUGGAGCCGAGGGACAGGUCUGGCCUGGAAGUCGGGAACCAUGGGUCAAUCCUAGAUCAAGGUCACUGAGGUCUCCCUGGGGGACAGAAUUACCCAGGGACUGUGUACAGCAUGGGGAGGUGGGUGAGGCCAUAUAGGCAGGUUUCCUGGCGGAACUUCUACUGUCACAGCUUUCGGUUAUUUUUAGAUUGUUAUCUUUCGAAGGUAGGUUCGUGAAUCCCAAAAAUGGAUGGAGAGGGAAUUUGGUGUUAGUAGAUGCAAAUUAUUCCAUUUAGAAGAGAUAAGCAGUUCCCGUCCUGGCUCAGCAGAAACGAACCUGACUAGCAUCCAUGAGGACGUAGGUUCAAUCCCUGGCCUUGCUCAGUGGGUUAAGGAUCCGGUGUUGCCUUGAGCUGUGGUGUAGGUCGCAGAUGUAGCUCGGAUCCUGCAUUGCUGUGACUGUGGUGUAGGCCGGCAGCUGUAGCUCCGAUUGGACCCCUAGCCUGGGAACCUCCACGUGCUGCAGGUGUGGCCCUAAAAAGACAAAAGACUAAAAGAAGAGAGAAUGGAUAAGUAAUGAGACCCU
rnacentral:lncRNA from 1 species